CUUUCAUGGCAAGCAGCUUUUAGUACGUAAUAGAGCACCCUUUUCCUGCAAAUGAGAUGCAUAGCCUGACACAAGCUUCUGGCAGCGUUCCUGAGGAAUCAGCCGAUUACUCAUGAGCAACCUCCAGUUCAGUAAUUUUUUUAUCUACAACUGUGAGAAUGAAAGCAACAUUCAAUCUAUCACUGUUCUGUCUGUCUGUCCUCGUGUCACAUGACUACAUACUAGAAUCAAUUUGUCUCAACAAAAAGGUAAUUGGGUAAAAUUCGACAGAAUUUUUUUUUUUUAAGGGAUGGGUUUCCAUGCCAUAUUUAGC